rnacentral:rRNA from 1 species
CACGUAGGGGGCAAGCGUUGUCCGGAUUUAUUGGGCGUAAAGGGCUCGUAGGCGGUUCGACAAGUCGGGUGUGAAACCUCCAGGCUCAACCUGGAGACGCCGCUCGAAACUGUUGUGACUAGAGUCCGGUAGAGGAGUAUGGAAUUCCUGGUGUAGCGGUGGAAUGCGCAGAUAUCAGGAGGAACACCAGUAGCGAAGGCGAUACUCUGGGCCGGUACUGACGCUGAGGAGCGAAAGCCAGGGGAGCAAACGGG